rnacentral:lncRNA from 1 species
GCUCGGGACAUAUCAGGGACGAGGGCGUGGGAAGAAUGUGAAGAAGUCGAGAACGGGGACCAGAGCUGUCUCCGGGGCACGGUGUGGCUGUUGCAUUUAUAAACUCCUAUCAGCUAUGGUUCCCUACACAAGAUCUAUAGUCAGCAUCCCAGCAUAGAGGGGAGCUGGGGUCAGGAUGCUCCACCCACAGGUGAGGAACUGUUUGCAAACCAUGGACGACUGCCUGAAGAGGGGUCCUUUCUCCUCAUGCUACGUUACCCACUUUGAGAUUUUCAUUUUAUAUGAGGUGACAUGCAGGAGAAGUAACUGAAGAAAGUCAACUCCUUGAUAGCUAUCCUGAAUGAGCGGAGAGUUACCUGAACCAUCGUACCUGGUUCACAUACCAUGUGAGGAGACUGCUUGCCUAAAGUCCUAUCAAAAUGCUACCCAGGAAGCUGGUUUAGUGGUUUAUGCCUGUAAUCCCCAAAACUCAGGAGACUGAGGCAGGAGGAUUACAAAAUGCAGCCAGCUUCAACUCCACAGUAAGACCUCGUCUCAAAAAGUAAUAAGAAUAAACAAACAAACAAACAAACAAACAACCCUCAGCGGGUAUUGUGGUACAGGUCUUUAAUCUCAGUACUGAGGGAGGCAGAGUCUCUCUGUGAGUUUGAAGCCAGCCUGGUCUACAGAGUGAGUUCUAGGCCAGCCAAGGCUACAUAGUGAGACCCGAUCUCAAAGACAACUACAGUAACAACAAAAGGAAUGAAGAACGUAGCCCUGGGACAGGCGUGUGGAGAUGCACAGGGCUUGUCUGAUGAAUGAAUUGGUGGCAAAGCUGAAAGUUACAACCAUAGAGUCUUCUGGGAGG